UUCUAAUAGGCUUUCUAUCAAAUUAUUACCUAAGCUUUGAGUUUUGAGAAACUGACCAAUCUGUAAUUAGUCAAUUUCUUACAGCUUAAAACUCAGGUAAUGACUUAUAAUAGAAAACCUAUAAUCUCUAAUUCACAAUCCUCAUCUCUAAUGUGUGAUGUGACAUGAGCUUAAAUACCCCAAUUGUUGGCGGAACAUUUAGAUUCCUAUUUGAAUUGUUAACGAAUGAAAUAUUAAACAAACACGAAUUUCCGAGCAAUGACAUUGAUGGUAGGCCAAAAGUCGUGGAUGAUAUGAUAUUUGUCAAAACAAUGCGCAAUAAUUGGAAUCUUGCCUAAACCUCGUAUUACCAAGUAUUAUUAACUUUGAGGAAACGUAAGGCGACUGAAAUUAAUAAAGACUACGGCACACAAUGCAUAUUUUCCUGCUGGAUCGAUUGCGUUGUGUUGUGACGAAUUAUUAGAAAUUCUGUAUUCUGUGGCGAAAUUCUGGUAAUUCAUUAAAACGCAAGCAAUCCAGUAGGAAAAAUUAGCUCGUGUGCCAUUGGCUUAACGGAGACGAUACAAUGCAUCGUUUGUAAAGACUACAGUCGUGCCGGAAUUCAAGGAUCGUCUGACAUGUGUAGCGUCUCGACCGUGAGCUCGCGAACGAUACGAGGCGCGAACCGACGAUGGAAAAUUACCGCAAUGGAUCAAGAAUGAGCGUCCAAGAGAGACGAGGAUAGACGAUAGAACUCGUCGGGCGCGAGAAAGGCGUCGUCCCGCCAGUCGAUAACUAUAAGUGACGUGAAGGAUCCAGAAUUAGAAAUGACUCCGAAAUGAAUCUGACAGACCACGAAACUGGAGGAGUUCGCCACGAGACAUCCGCCUCCGUCACGGUGGCCGAUAACGGCGAAUUCGAUGCAAACAUACGGUGUCACGUUUCUAACGAGUAUGCAAGCGGGACGACCGUCGCGGGACACAAAAGGAGAAAGAGGAAGAAAGCCUGGCGCGCGUGGAUGCUACGCUUAUCUACCGCCACGGAAUUACUCUCUUGCGUGUCUAUUUUACGGUGACCGCUCUAUUUAUAACGCACGAAUAUCUGGAUGACGGAUUCGAUUCUUCGCGCACGUUCUGCGUUCGCACACUUUCACUUCUUCCCUUCUCUCGUCAAGGGUGUCACCAGAAUUUUUUAAUCAGAAUCUUUUACUGAUCUGUCCGACUCUAUUUGAUCCAAAAUAUAAUUUAUGUUCUUACUA